rnacentral:rRNA from 1 species
UACAGAGGUCUCAAGCGUUGUUCGGAUUCAUUGGGCGUAAAGGGUGCGUAGGCGGCGCGGUAAGUCGGGUGUGAAAUCUCGGAGCUUAACUCCGAAACUGCAUUCGAUACUGCCGUGCUUGAGGACUGGAGAGGAGACUGGAAUUUACGGUGUAGCGGUGAAAUGCGUAGAUAUCAGGAGGAACACCAAUGGCGAAGGCAGCUCGCUGGGACGUGACUGACGCUGAGACGCGAAAGCGUGGGGAGCAAACAGG